AGAGGCAGACAUCCGACGGCAAACAACGAGAGAAUUUUAUCCAGAACAAUGAGUACAGUGUGUGCGCGCAAAGUGCUCUUCCUGCCAUUUUGCUACUCUUAUCCACACAACCACUUUAGCGAUUACCAACCUAUCUUGAGACUUAUCUUUAUUUUCUCUUCU
ensembl:ncRNA T18D3.10 ncRNA